ensembl:rRNA 5S_rRNA 5S ribosomal RNA
GUCUACAUCCAUACUACCCUAAACGCGCCUAAUCUCAUCGGAAGCCAAGCAGGGUCGGACCUGGUUAGUACUUGCAUGGGAGACUGCCUGGAAAUGCCAGGUGCUGUAGGCU